AGGACGAACGCUGGCGGCGCGCCUAACACAUGCAAGUCGAACGAGCAAAGAGAGCUUGCUUCUCUGAGCGAGUGGCGAACGGGUGAGUAACGCGUGGAUAACCUGCCAUACACUGGGGGAUAACAGCUGGAAACAGCUGCUAAUACCGCAUAAAACUGUAGAGUCGCAUGACUUUAUAGCCAAGGCUCCGGCGGUGUAUGAUGGAUCCGCGUCUGAUUAGGCAGUUGGCGGGGUAACGGCCCACCAAACCGACGAUCAGUAGCCGACCUGAGAGGGUGACCGGCCACAUUGGAACUGAGACACGGUCCAAACUCCUACGGGAGGCAGCAGUGAGGAAUAUUGGUCAAUGGAGGCAACUCUGAACCAGCCAAGUAGCGUGCAGGAUGACGGCCCUAUGGGUUGUAAACUGCUUUUAUGCGGGGAUAAACUGACUCACGUGUGGGUCAUUGCAGGUACCGCAUGAAUAAGGACCGGCUAAUUCCGUG
rnacentral:rRNA from 1 species